rnacentral:rRNA from 1 species
UCAUGUUCUCCACCCUGAACGCGCCCGAUCUCGUCUGAUCUCGGAAGCUAAGCAGGGUCGGGCCUGGUUAGUACUUGGA